CACGGGGGGAGCAAGCGUUGUUCGGAAUCACUGGGCGUAAAGGGCGUGUAGGCGGUCAAGUAAGUGGGAUGUGAAAUCCCUCGGCUCACCCGAGGACCGGCAUCUCAUACUGCUUGGCUUGAGUACGGGAGAGGAUGUGGGAAUUCCUGGUGUAGCGGUGAAAUGCGUAGAUAUCAGGAGGAACAACGGUGGCGAAGGCGCACAUCUGGCCCGAUACUGACGCUAAAGCGCGAAAGCUAGGGGAGCAAACGGG
rnacentral:rRNA from 1 species